rnacentral:rRNA from 1 species
UACGUAGGGCGCAAGCGUUGUCCGGAAUUAUUGGGCGUAAAGAGCUCGUAGGCGGCCAGGUAGGUCUGCUGUGAAAACUCGAGGCUUAACCUCGAGAUGUCGGCGGAAACCAUCUGGCUAGAGUCCGGAAGAGGAGAGUGGAAUUCCUGGUGUAGCGGUGAAAUGCGCAGAUAUCAGGAAGAACACCCGUGGCGAAGGCGGCUCUCUGGGACGGUACUGACGCUGAGACGCGAAAGCGUGGGGAGCAAACAGG